UUUUUUUUUUACAAGUUUAAUUGGAUUCAAUGUAACAUAAUAAUACUGUGACAAAAUGUUAAAUAUUUUUUUUUUAAUUAAAAUGAAAACAUUAAAUAGAACCUAAUUCAAAAUAUAUAUUAAAAAAAAACUAUAAUAGUAUCUCACUGAUACUAAAAUAAUAAGUAUCCAAAAAAAAAAAAAAAGUUGACCAUUUUACUGAUUUAAGUGAAUUGAAUGUAAUGUAAUUUGGUUGUGACAAAAUGUUAAAGAACAGUGUUGCUUCAGUACAUCGAAUAAGGAGUAAAAAUCAUUUUUAGUACGUUUAUCACUCAGUAUAUGGUUAUCAAACCCAUGACAUCACUAGUUAAGCCACACAACCUCCAGACCCUGAUGAUCACAGUGAUACAUUUUGUUCGUAGUUUCCUACUGAAGAAAGCUGGACACUGAUGAGAGUGACGUGUGAUGGGACUGGCUGCUUUCCUCUAAACCCUGUAAGUCCAGCAGUGCUGUUUGCUGUGGUAAUUUGCAGACUCCAGUGGGAACGGUGGCAUUCCUCAUGGCUUAAACGCACCAAUACUGCGGGUCAGAGCUCCAUUUGUCUUCUGUGUUUUUGCUCCAGAAAUAAACAAUGAUGAGAUCGAAGGGAAGAGAAAGGAAAAAGAGAAACUGCCAGAUCGCCCAGAUCUUCUGUGAGUCAUUAUUCAGUUUGUUUGUUCUUCAAUGCAAAUGUUUCUUUCAGAAUUUUCACAGCAUUCUGAUGUUUUCUCUUGACAGAAAGUUCAGGACCGAGGCUUGUUUGGAGGUUAACUGGUCAACAACAGCACAAAAGAUGAUUAAUUUGGCACGUAUUCAUGAUAAAUACGGGCUGAAGAAGUUUUGGGAAGAGAAGAUCGAAAGCCACGUUCAGAGGAUAGGAAAUGAAGACUCGAGAAUGAAGAACAGCGCUUUAUCCAAGUGUGUAUGUCUGUCACGGGGGUCAAAUCUCUUCUUUGAUAGUUGCUGCUACAGAAUAACUUCAUCCAAUGUGUGGCUUUUCUUUC
ensembl:lncRNA